UAUAUAUCAAUAUACCUACAAGUGUAUGCAUAUGUAUAUAUCAACGCAUGCGCGCACACUCUUGACAUUCUGUUUUUUGCAUCCAGCAUUUUCUUCUCAAGUCAAUCGAGUCUUUAAACUCUCUUUUUUGUGAAGUGUGUACCGUUCUGUGUAUAUAUAUGCAUUUAUCUGCUUAUAUUUAUGAUUUAAUCGGUUUAACAAGCUGUGAAUUGCUUGAGGAAUGUAAUUUGUUAGAUCACAUACUUUUC
rnacentral:lncRNA from 1 species